UUGUGUUGCUGAUGUGGUAUACCCCUCUCUUCGAUCAAUGGUAUAUUCCCCUGGUGCUGCACUCUUCAGUCUGUGUGAAACAUUCUGAAGAGAGAUUGUGAAACCAGAACAGAUGAUUGUUGUAACACUGUCCCAUUUCAUGCUUGCAGUUACUGUAAAGAAAACAACCUGUAACAUGAGUCUGUGUGAAAC